UACGGAGGGUGCAAGCGUUAUCCGGAUUCACUGGGUUUAAAGGGUGCGUAGGUGGGUUGAUAAGUCAGUGGUGAAAUCCCCGAGCUUAACUUGGGAACUGCCAUUGAUACUAUUGAUCUUGAAUACCGUGGAGGUCAGCGGAAUAUGUCAUGUAGCGGUGAAAUGCUUAGAUAUGACAUAGAACACCAAUUGCGAAGGCAGCUGGCUACGCGAAUAUUGACACUGAUGCACGAAAGCGUGGGGGAUCAAACAGG
rnacentral:rRNA from 1 species